rnacentral:rRNA from 1 species
AAAUGAAUAGACGGGCACCCGCACAAGCGGUGGAGCAUGCUGUUUAAUUCGAAGAUACGCGAAGAACCUUACCUAGACUUGACAUGCUGAUGAUCGAUUUAGAAAUAAAUCUUUCCCUUCGGGGACAUCAGACACAGGUGGUGCAUGGUUGUCGUCAGCUCGUGUCGUGAGAUGUUUGGUUAAGUCCAAUAACGAGCGCAACCCCUGUCCUUAGUUGCUAACAUUCAGUUGAGGACUCUAAGGAUACUGUCGGUAAAAAAUCGAAGGAAGGUGGGGAUGAUGUCAAAUCAUCAUGCCCCUUACGUCUAGGGCUACAGGCGUGCUACAAUGGCUGGUAUAAAAAGAUGCGAGAUUGUGAAAUGGAGCAAAACUAGUAAAGCCGGUCUCAGUUCGGAUUGGAGUCUGCAAUUCGACUCCAUGAAGUAGGAAUCGCUAGUAAUCCCGAAUCAGAAUGUCGGGGUGAAUACGUUCUCGGGUGUUGUACACACCGCCCGU